rnacentral:rRNA from 1 species
GACGUAGGGCGCAAGCGUUGUCCGGAUUUAUUGGGCGUAAAGAGUUCGUAGGCGGCUUGUUGCGUCGUCCGUGAAAACCUGUGGCUCAACUACAGGCUUGCGGUCGAUACGGGCGGGCUGGAGUUCGGUAGGGGAGACUGGAAUUCCUGGUGUAGCGGUGAAAUGCGCAGAUAUCAGGAGGAACACCGGUGGCGAAGGCGGGUCUCUGGGCCGAUACUGACGCUGAGGAGCGAAAGCGUGGGGAGCGAACAGG